AAGACUCAACACAUCUGUUAUAUGGUAUGAUACAUUGUGAUGGGAUUGGGCAUUUGCUAUGCAUCAAUAGACUUAGAGGGGGUUCUAAGCAUCUUCGCGGCAGAGAGAUCAUGGAUCUUUGGGAUCAGAUUUGCACAAAUCUUCGAACCAGUUACUAUCAAAGAGCUUGAUUACUACACAUAUCCAAUGAUCAACAAUAGACUCAUUGUGCUAUAAAGAUUGUCAGCAAUACAGACUAUAAAAACACAGGCAAAGUAUAUGGGCAAAGUUUCUUGAUGCAAGUUAGAAUCCGGCACCAUGGGCUGAAGAACCAACAACUAAAAUAUUGGCUGAAGAACCUGCAAUAUCAGGAGGUGGGAAUAUUGUGUGGAAUGUGAAGAUUAUCUUGAUGAGUGGGAUAAGCAAGAAUGUUUCAGAGGAG